GGCAACCCCAUGCCCUCAAAGGAGCAAGAGGAAGCAGUAAUCAAGAAAAAGUAUGGAGGGUUGUUACCAAUGAAAAACCCGUUAAUCUCGAAGGACCAUGACCGGGCUUUCUUUGAUUCCGCUGAUUGGGCACUUGUAAAGGAAGCAGUAAUCAAGAAAAAGUAUGGAGGGUUGUUACCGAAGAAAAACCCGUAAUCUCGAAGGACCAUGACUGGGCUUUCUUUGAUUCCGCUGAUUGGGCACUUGGAAAGCAAGGAUAGAAGGCCAAAGGACCGUUAGAAGCCCUCCGCCCGAAAUUACAGCCAACACCGCAACAACAAUCACGUUCAAGGCGCUCAGCUUAUGCCCCCGCAGGUGAAGGCGAAGGUAUUACAAUCGGAUCUUUAAGAACAUUGAAGCAUUUGUUACCGGAAGGAGUCCGGUUGAUUACUCCAGACCACCUGGAGAGGAAUGGUAGCAAGUCGACUUGGUGAGGAGUUACUAGACCCAAAGAUCAAUGAACGACCUUCUUCAAGAGCUUUAAAACGAGUCUUAUUAGUGUGCCUUCGGUGUAUAGAUAUGGAUGCAAGUAAGCGUCCAAAAAUGAGCCAAAUUGUACACAUGCUCGAGGCGGAUGACUUCCCUUUUCGCAAAGAAUCGCGGCCACCUAAAGACCCAAAUAUGCGUCGACCAGAUGCAUUUGCUAGUUCUAAAUGCUUCCCCAAGAUGCUGGUUCUAGCUUGGAAACAAGUAUCCAGAAUAAAUUAAGCGGAUGCACAAGACCUUGGAAUCGCCACUGAACUGCUUCCUUUAAGUAGGCCAAAUGAAGAAUUUAAAGUCUCGCUUUUUUAUGCUGUAUGGGUCGGUGUAUGGGACGAUGGACAGUGGUGUUGGAUGGCAUCGAUGGGACUGAAUGAAGGAUGUCAUGGGUCAAAUGGGCUGAACGGGUUGAAAUAGGUUUUGAGAUCAAAACGAAAGAGUGGUCAUCCUGAUCUUCUCCACUGAUGACACCAACAGCAACCGUUGAAAUCAUCUUCUCCUCUUAAAGAGCUGAUGAUCUUGGGAAGUUACAAUUCUUUGUUUUUUCACAUAUGAUUUUGCUUUGGCGAUUUUAUGAGGAUGUAUUCUGAUUCAUGUCUAUAAAGUGUUUCUAGGGUUUGUUGUUUAGAGACAAAAGUCAUGGCUGGUUCUCCUUAAGAGUUUUCAUUCAUUUCUAAAUACAAAAUGAUUUCUAAUAUAAAAUGCUAAUGGUUCUCCUUAGUAGAACUUUGACUUCUUUCAAGUUAUAAUGAUUUCUAAUAUAAAAUUGCUACACAGGUAUCUUACUGAUGGAGUACUCCUUCGCGAAAGUCUUUCCGACCCGGAGCUUAAACAGUAUUCGUUGAUUAUACUAGAUGAAGCUCAUGAAAGGAGUCUAAAGACGGAUAUAUUAAUGGGGUUGAUGAAGCGGUUGAUUAGACUGCGUGCCUCCAAUUUGAAAGUGUUGAUCACUUCGGCUACACUUGAUGGUGAAAAGAUGCUCUUAAACAAUUGUUUCUGAUUGAUGCUAUAAAUGAAAAUGGCACCAUCACGAGAAUAGGAAAAACUAUGUCAGAGCUUCCUUUGGAACCUUCACUAGCAAGGACUUUGAUCGAGGCAAAUGAGUACGAUUGUUUGACCCAAGCUUUGACUGUAGCUACUAUGUUAUGGGUUGAAGGUACAUUGCUUCCGCCCUUUGAAGAAUGGAGAUGGAGAUGGAGCGGUAGAUGAGUGAUUAGAAUUUGGGGCCGUAUUUGGUAUAAGGGUUUUAAUGGGCCUUCAAAGUCUAACCCAUUAUAAAGGUUAAUUGAAUCAAAUAUAAGGGCUUUAUUGAAUUGUUCAAUAACAUUUGGGUAUUUAAAUUAGGUCAUGUUUUAAUUAUUA